UACGUAGGGGGCAAGCGUUAUCCGGAUUUACUGGGUGUAAAGGGAGCGUAGACGGUUUUGUAAGUCUGAGGUGAAAGCUCGGGGCUCAACCCCGGAACUGCUUUGGAAACUAUAGAACUGGAGUGCAGGAGAGGUAAGCGGAAUUCCUAGUGUAGCGGUGAAAUGCGUAGAUAUUAGGAGGAACACCAGAGGCGAAGGCGACUUACUGGACUGUAACUGACGUUGAGGCUCGAAGGCGUGGGGAGCAAAC
rnacentral:rRNA from 1 species